UAACGUUCCGAAAGGAACGCUAAUACCGCAUACGUCCUACGGGAGAAAGCGGGGGAUCUUCGGACCUCGCGCUAUCGGAUGAGCCUAGGUCGGAUUAACUAGUUGGUGAGGUAAUGGCUCACCAAGGCGACGAUCCGUAGCUGGUCUGAGAGGAUGAUCAGCCACACUGGGACUGAGACACGGCCCAGACUCCUACGGGAGGCAGCAGUGGGGAAUAUUGGACAAUGGGCGAAAGCCUGAUCCAGCCAUGCCGCGUGUGUGAAGAAGGUCUUCGGAUUAUAAAGCACUUUAAGUUGGGAGGAAGGGUUAUAACCUAAUACGUUGCAACUUUGACGUUACCGACAGAAUAAGCACCGGCUAACUUCGUGCCAGCAGCCGCGGUAAUACGAAGGGUGCAAGCGUUAAUCGGAAUUACUGGGCGUAAAGCGCGCGUAGGUGGUUUGAUAAGUUGGAUGUGAAAGCCCCGGGCUCAACCUGGGAAUUGCAUCCAAAACUGUCUGACUAGAGUAAGGUAGAGGGUAGUGGAAUUUCCUGUGUAGCGGUGAAAUGCGUAGAUAUAGGAAGGAACACCAGUGGCGAAGGCGACUACCUGGACUGAUACUGACACUGAGGUGCGAAAGCGUGGGGAACAAACAGGAUUAGAUACCCU
rnacentral:rRNA from 1 species